UUAUCGUUAGUUGCCAUCUGGUAAAGCAGGGGACUCUAGCGAAACUGCCACCGUAAGGUGAGAGGAAGGUGGGGAUGACGUCAAAUCAGCGCGGCCCUUAUGUCCAGGGCUACACACGUGUUACAAUGGCCGGUACAGAGGGCAGCUACCUGGUGACAGGAUGCUAAUCUCGAAAACCGGUCUCAGUUCGGAUCGAAGUCUGCAACUCGACUUCGUGAAGCUGGAUUCGCUAGUAAUCGCGCAUCAGCCAUGGCGCGGUGAAUACGUUCCCGGGCCUU
rnacentral:rRNA from 1 species